rnacentral:rRNA from 1 species
GGGGAAUCUUGCACAAUGGGCGCAAGCCUGAUGCAGCAACGCCGCGUGCGGGAAGACGGCCCUAGGGUUGUAAACCGCUUUCAGGAGGGAAGAAAAUGACGGUACCUCCAGAAGAAGGUGCGGCCAACUACGUGCCAGCAGCCGCGGUGACACGUAGGCACCAAGCGUUAUCCGGAUUUAUUGGGCGUAAAGAGCUCGUAGGCGGUUCGGUAAGUCGGGUGUGAAAAUCCAAGGCUCAACCUUGGGACGCCACCCGAUACUGCUGUGACUCGAGUGCAGUAGGGGAGCAGGGAAUUCCUGGUGUAGCGGUGAAAUGCGCAGAUAUCAGGAGGAACACCAGUGGCGAAGGCGCUGCUCUGGGCUGUAACUGACGCUGAGGAGCGAAAGCAUGGGUAGCAAACAGG